rnacentral:rRNA from 1 species
CACAAGCGGUGGAGCAUGUGGUUUAAUUCGAUGAUACGCGAGAAACCUUACCAGGGCUUGACAUAUACAGGAAUGUUGUAGAGAUACAGCAGCCGCUUGCGGUCUGUAUACAGGUGCUGCAUGGCUGUCGUCAGCUCGUGCUGUGAAGUGUUGGGUAAGUCCCGCAACGAGCGCAACCCCUAUCAUCUGUUGCCAGCAUUUAAGGUGGGGACUCAGAUGAGACUGCCGGUGACAAACCGGAGGAAGUGGGGACGACGUCAAGUCAUCAUGGCCCUUAUGUCCUGGGCUACACACGUGCUACAAUGGCCGGUACAGAGUGAAGCGAAACCGCGAGGUGAAGCAAAACGCAGAAAGCCGGUCUCAGUACGGAUUGGAGUCUGAAACUCGACUUCAUGAAGUUGGAAUCGCUAGUAAUCGCGCAUCAGCAUGGCGCGGUGAAUACGUUCCCGGGCCUU